CACGUAGGGGCCAAGCGUUGUCCGGAUUUAUUGGGCGUAAAGAGCUCGUAGGCGGUCUGUCGCGUCUGCUGUGAAAACCUAGGGCUUAACUCUGGGCGUGCAGUGGGUACGGGCAGGCUAGAGUGCGGUAGGGGAGACUGGAAUUCCUGGUGUAGCGGUGAAAUGCGCAGAUAUCAGGAGGAACACCGGUGGCGAAGGCGGGUCUCUGGGCCGAUACUGACGCUGAGGAGCGAAAGCGUGGGGAGCGAACAGG
rnacentral:rRNA from 1 species